rnacentral:rRNA from 1 species
AGUGAACGCUGGCGGUAGGCCUAACACAUGCAAGUCGAACGGCAGCACAGUAAGAGCUUGCUCUUACGGGUGGCGAGUGGCGGACGGGUGAGGAAUACAUCGGAAUCUUCUUUUUCGUGGGGGUUAACGUAGGGAAACUUACGCUAAUACCGCAUACGACCUACGGGUGAAAGCAGGGGAUCUUCGGACCUUGCGCGAUUGAAUGAGCCGAUGUCGGAUUAGCUAGUUGGCGGGGUAAAGGCCCACCAAGGCGACGAUCCGUAGCUGGUCUGAGAGGAUGAUCAGCCACACUGGAAGUGAGACACGGACCAGACUCCUACGGGAGGCAGCAGUGGGGAAUAUUGGACAAUGGGCGCAAGCCUGAUCCGGCCAUACCGCGUGGGUGAAGAAGGCCUUCGGGUUGUAAAGCCCUUUUGUUGGGAAAGAAAAGCAGCAGGUUAAGACCCCGCUGUUCUGACGGUACCCAAAGAAUAAGCACCGGCUAACUUCGUG